UUUCGGGGUUCCUGGGUGUCACGCAGAUCUCGGUGGGACCUCCAAGUGAAAGAACCUAGUGGGGAAACCCCCACUCAAUUCCCCGAUUCGGCAUGCACCCAAGAAUCACGAACAGACGA
rnacentral:pre_miRNA from 7 species